UCUACGGGUGGCAGCAGUGAGGAAUAUUGGUCAAUGGGCGGGAGCCUGAACCAGCCAAGUCGCGUGAGGGAAGACGGUCCUAUGGAUUGUAAACCUCUUUAGGCGGGGAGCAAUGCCGGGCACGUUUGCCCGGAUGGAGAGUACCCGCAGAAUAAGCAUCAGCUAACUCCGUGCCAGCAGCCGCGGUAAUACGGAGGAUGCGAGCGUUAUCCGGAGUGAUUGGGUUUCAAGGGUACGUAGGCGGAUUUUUAAGUCAGCGGUAAAAGGUCCUGGAGCAACACGGGCCGGCCGUUGAAACGGGGGAUCUUGAGUGGGCGAGAUGUAUGCGGAAUGCGUGGUGUAGCGGUGAAAUGCA
rnacentral:rRNA from 1 species